CAUAUUAAGGGUGGCCAUAUGGGGGGGGGGGGGGUCUUCAUAGACUCCUUGACUGGAGUCUAGAAAGACCCGCAAGGGUAGAAAGACCCCCAAAGAGUUGAAGGAACCCCAAAGGGUUGAAGGACCCCCAAAAGGUAGAAGGACCCCCAAUGGGUAGGAGGACCCCUAAGGGUAGAAAGACCCCAAAAGGGUAGAAGGACCCCCCAAAGGUAGAAAGAACCCCAAGGAUAGAAGGACCCCCAAAGGGUUGAGGGACCCCCAAAGGGUAGAAAGACCCCAAAAGGGUAGAAGGACCCCCAAAGGGUAGAAGGAGCCCGAAAGGGUAGAAGGACCUCCAGUGGUAGAAAGACCCCCCAAAGGUAGAAGGACCCCCAAAGAGUAGAAGGACCCCCAAAGGGGUAGAAGGACCCCAAAGGUUAGAACGAUCCCCAAAGAGUAGAAGGACUCCCCAAGGGUAGAAGGACCCCCAAAGGGUUGAGGGACCCUCAAAGGGUAGAAGGACUCCCAAAGGUUAGAAGGUCCCCCAAAGGGUUGAGGGACCCCCAAAGGGUAGAAGGACCCCCAAGGUUAGAAGGACCCCCAAUGGUAGAGGGACCCCCAAGGUUAGAAGGACCCCCAAAAGAUAGAAGGACCCCCAGUAGUAGAAGGACCCCAAAAGGGUAGAAGGAUUUUGGGGUUAAAUGGGGGAUUUUCGAGGAGAAAAUGUAUGAUUUUGGGUUAAAUGGGGGAUUUUUGAAGGGAAAAUGGGUGAUUUUGGGGUUAAAUGGGG
rnacentral:lncRNA from 1 species